GACGAACGCUGGCGGCGUGCUUAGCACAUGCAAGUCGAACGGAAAGGCCCUGCUUUUGUGGGGUGCUCGAGUGGCGAACGGGUGAGUAACACGUGAGUAACCUGCCCUUGACUUUGGGAUAACUUCAGGAAACUGGGGCUAAUACCGGAUAGGAGCUCCUGCUGCAUGGUGGGGGUUGGAAAGUUUCGGCGGUUGGGGAUGGACUCGCGGCUUAUCAGCUUGUUGGUGGGGUAGUGGCUUACCAAGGCUUUGACGGGUAGCCGGCCUGAGAGGGUGACCGGCCACAUUGGGACUGAGAUACGGCCCAGACUCCUACGGGAGGCAGCAGUGGGGAAUAUUGCACAAUGGGCGGAAGCCUGAUGCAGCAACGCCGCGUGCGGGAUGACGGCCUUCGGGUUAUAAACCGCUUUCGCCUGUGACGAAGCGUGAGUGACGGUAAUGGGUAAAGAAGCACCGGCUAACUACGUG
rnacentral:rRNA from 1 species